AGUCAUCGACCGAACCCGUUUCCUCACGGAGCGGGCGAGGUCGGAGUCUGGGGCGUGCUGCCGCGAGGCUGCUCCCCUCAAAUGCAUCGGUUGGGCCUGUGGGUCGAACUCGUAACGGCGUUGUAACCAUCCUCGCUCACCUCGAGACGGACCCCUGCCGUGCCCUCCCGCGACCCGCCUCUGGAGUGGCGGUCAAGCACCUUUGAA
rnacentral:misc_RNA from 1 species